rnacentral:sRNA from 1 species
UAUAAUAGCCUAUAACAGCGAACUGUACAAAAAUCUUAGUGAAGCCACAAAAGGAGUUAAAGGUUUAACGAUUAUUGCUGUUUUUAUGGAGUUGGGUAAAGAACAUAAUAAAUAUUUCUACUGUAUAUCUCAAGAAUUGCAUCGACUACAGCAUAGAGACAAUAAGGCGCAGGUGAGAGAUCUCUCCAUGGACCAUCUCUUGCCUAAAACUACAGAGUACGUCACGUAUGAUGGAUCCUUGACGCAGCCAGGUUGCUACGAGACGGUCACGUGGAUCCUGCUCAACAAACCGCUUAGGAUCAGUAAA